AAAAAAAAAGGCUUAAAAUCACUUUGUUUUUAUUGCCAAAAUCCCAAAGGCAGCACCGCUCCCUCUAUCUGAGAUCGAGACACGAUAGCCACAGCCGAAAAUGAGCAAUCCAGGUAAGCUAAUCACUUCGAGCUCUGAAUUGGACUUGGAUCGACCCAAUAUCGAAGAUUACCUUCCUUCUGGAUCUUCCAUUCAAGAACCUCACGGCAAGCUUCGCCUGCGUGAUUUGCUUGACAUUUCGCCAACUCUAACAGAGGCUGCUGGUGCCAUUGUUGAUGACUCAUUUACGCGAUGUUUCAAGUCGAAUCCUCCAGAACCAUGGAAUUGGAAUAUAUAUCUGUUUCCUCUGUGGUGUUGUGGUGUGGUUUUUCGAUAUGGGAUUUUGUUCCCUUCCAGGGUUCUAGUACUGACAAUAGGGUGGAUUAUUUUUCUUUCAUCCUACAUUCCUGUGCAUUUUCUACUGAAAGGGCAUGACAAGUUGAGAAAAAAGCUAGAGAGGAGUUUGGUGGAGUUAAUUUGCAGCUUCUUUGUGGCAUCAUGGACUGGAGUUGUCAAGUACCAUGGGCCGCGGCCUAGCAUGCGACCUAAACAGGUUUUUGUGGCUAAUCAUACCUCCAUGAUUGAUUUUAUCAUCCUAGAACAGAUGACUGCUUUUUCUGUUAUUAUGCAGAAACAUCCUGGUUGGGUUGGACUAUUGCAAAGCACUAUAUUAGAGAGCUUAGGUUGUAUCUGGUUCAAUCGUUCAGAGUCGAAGGAUCGUGAAAUUGUAGCGAAAAAGUUAAGGGAACAUGUUCAGGGGGCUGACAAUAACCCUCUUCUCAUAUUUCCUGAGGGAACUUGUGUCAACAACCACUAUACUGUCAUGUUCAAGAAGGGUGCAUUUGAACUGGGCUGUACUGUGUGUCCAAUUGCAAUCAAGUACAAUAAAAUCUUUGUUGAUGCUUUUUGGAACAGCCGGAA
rnacentral:misc_RNA from 1 species